ACAUGAUAUACAACACCGCAACUAUUAGAGGUAGAAUUGAAUCGAUAA
rnacentral:misc_RNA from 1 species